GCUUAAAAAGACACCAAGCCAUGUGUGUUACAGUUUGCGGUGUGACGGUUUGCUGACAUUAUGCCGACGACGAACCGAAAGAAGCAGAAGCAGGGCAGGGACGCUGCGGUUCAGGGGACCAACGACAGCAGCGUGGUAAGCAAAGUGUCGGCGGCGGCGCAGGGAUACUUCCAGGACGUCUUCCUCCAACACUUUGUGUGCAAAGCAGCCAGGAGAGCGCCGCUCAUCAACAGGGGAUACUAUGUGCGGUGGCGAGCUGUGGAUCACUGUGUGAGGAGGUUCCUGCAGGUUACUGAAAACUGCCCAAAGAGACAGAUUUUGUCUCUGGGUGCUGGAUUCGACUCUUUGUAUUUCCGCCUGCACGCAGACAAAGCGCUCGACAGAGCUGUUGUGUUUGAGGUGGAUUUUCCCGACGUCGCCCGACGCAAAGCUGCACUGAUCGCGUCUGACGGCACGCUGAAGGCGGCGAUGGACUCCAGUUUACCUCCUCCUACAGGGCCUGUGUGUGUGUGCAGUGGUCAGUACCGGCUGCUCGGGGUGGAUGUGAGAGAGGAGUCCCGGGUGGAGGAGGCUCUGGGUGCAGCGGGGCUGGACUGGGCCGCUCCCACCCUCGUCCUGUCUGAAGUGGUGCUCACCUACAUGGAGACACAGAGGUCGGAUGCUGUCAUCAGCUGGGCGGCAAAGCUCCUGCCGCAGUCGCUCUUCGUCAUUUAUGAGCAGAUACAUCCGCACGAUCCCUUUGGUCGGAUCAUGCAGGAUCAUUUUGUGAAGCUGAAUUCAACCCUGCACGCUCUGCGCCUUUACCCAGACGCCGCUGCUCAGAGGCGCCGCCUCCUGGACAAGGGCUGGGAGCGGUGUGUGUGUCUGGAUAUGAAUGAGUUCUACCUGGGGCUGGUCUCCGAGGAGGAGCGGGGCAGCGUGGAGAGCCUGGAGCCUUUUGAUGAAUAUGAGGAGUGGCACCAAAAAUGUUCCCACUACUUCGUCCUCACUGCGUCUCGAGGCUCUCUGAUGGCGCCGGCUCUGCUCACACAAGCUGCAGUAUCUCCGCUGCCAACCGUCUGCCCGUCUUGGGGCCCCACAGUCCUGAGUGUGAGGGCCACACCCGUCUGUGUGGAGGGGCUGGGGAUGGCGUCCUCCUCGGUGAGCCCGGGGCGGGUCCUGCUGACAGGAGGCUGCAGCAGAGGGGGCCGAGGGCCGGUGAGCUGGAUCCUUCUGAGGGGCCACGGAGGCUGGAGGUCCAUCCGUGGGGGGCCAUCAGAAGAUCUGGGUGUUCGACUCCACCACACUGCUACCUCUGCUCCUGGAGGAGGUGUGGUGGUUUACGGCGGUCGCUCCUCUCCACUCAGCCCGAGCAGAGGCGUUUUCAGAGUGAACCUGGAUCCUCCUGAUCCUCCCGAGGACAGCGACGCGGUGAAUCUCUGUGUCGAGCGGUUGGACUGUAGUGGAGAUCCUCCAGCGCUGAGAUGGAGGCACGCUGCUGCCGUUGUCAGUCACAGAGGAAAAGACUUCCUGUUUGUGUUUGGUGGAAAAAAUGAAUCAGAGGCAGUUCUGGGUGACGGCUGCUUCCUGUGUCUCGACCAGCAGCACUGGACUGAGAUCCCAGUAGAGGGCGCAGCACCAGAUGCCCGUCAUUCCCACUCAGCAUGUUCAUAUCGAGGCGGUGUGGUGGUUUUUGGAGGACUGGACAGACGGGGAGUGCCACUGGGAGACACAGCGGUGUUGAGGCCCACUGAUGAAGGCUUCUCCUGGGAGAGAAUAGAGCUGCAGCCCCCUCCUGUUCCCAGGUACUCUCACUCUGCCCAUGUGAUCGGUGAAAAGCUGGUGGUGGUCGGUGGAGUUUGGCUGCGUUCAGAUGGAGUUCCUGGUGCCGUCGUGAUUGACCUCGCCACACGCAGCAGUGUGGAGUUCAGCCUGGACACGACCUCGGUGCCGUGGCCUCUGAUGCUCCACUCGUUCUGCUCUGAGCUGACGGACUCUGAGGAACCUGAGCUGCUCCUGAUAGGUGGGGGAGGAAACUGUUUCUCUUUUGGGACUCACUUCAACGUUCAGCCUGUCACGGUGGACCUCAGACCUGUGCUGGGAUGAAAUGCAGUGGUUCUCAACCAUUUUCGUGUCGAAGACUCAAAGAUUUUGGUGGCUGUGGGUCGGCUGGAACGAAGCCCCAUCAUACAAGUAGGCCGAGCAGCGUAUUGGUCUCCAUCGACAAAGCCCUGCAGCCACCGGGAGCAUCAACACCACAGCGUGACCUCUGUGGAGGGCCCAUCAGUUCAAUCUCUCCCUCUGCACUCACUGCGGCUUUCAUCAGCUCACUUCUGACUGUCUGAGUCGUGAGAGUUCAUACACCGCAAAGUGACGCUGAAAUCCUACUAGGAGUCUAACAGGAGCUGAGACGGUCGUUGAGGCCCAUCCAGCGCUGGUACUCUGGGUACUCCCCCCUGGUAAGGACGUACUGGUAGCCCAUGUAGUUGGGCCGCUCGUACACCACCCAGGCGCCGCUCUCCACCCGGAUGGAGUUGCAGCGACUCAGGUGAUAUUUUUAGCUGCCAUGCAGUGGACAAUCCAAAACCCCAGGCAGAGCUGGCAAUGCUGAAACAGUACGGCCCCGACGUUCCCGAUGCUACGCUGCAGAAACUGGUGGCUGCCUUUGGAGAGUUGCGGUCGAUGGCCGACCAGGGCACCAUCACCUACCCCUACUCCACCCGCGAGGUGGUCAACAUCGUCAAACACCUCCAGGCCCGUUGGAGUCCUUUAAAGAGGCCAGGGUGGGAGGGAUGAGGCUGUCCAGUUCCUGCCUGUGUCCCGCCUCCAG